ACGAACGCUGGCGGCGUGCCUAAUACAUGCAAGUCGAACGGUCUUUCUAUGGAAGCUUGCUUCCACUGAGAAGAUAGUGGCGAACGGGUGAGUAACACGUGGGUAACCUGCCCAUAAGAGGGGGAGUAACAUCCGGAAACGGGUGCUAAUACCGCAUAGUUUUCUUGAUCGCAUGAUUGAGAAAGGAAAGACGGCCUUUGUGCUGUCGCUUAUGGAUGGACCCGCGGCGUAUUAGUUAGUUGGUGAGGUAACGGCUCACCAAGACGAUGAUACGUAGCCGACCUGAGAGGGUGAUCGGCCACAUUGGGACUGAGACACGGCCCAAACUCCUACGGGAGGCAGCAGUAGGGAAUCUUCCGCAAUGGACGAAAGUCUGACGGAGCAACGCCGCGUGAGUGAAGUAAAAGGGUUUUCGGAUCGUAAAACUCUGUUGUCAGAGAAGAACAAGUUGGAGAGUAACUGCUCCAGCCUUGACGGUAUCUGACCAGAAAGCCACGGCUAACUACGUGCCAGCAGCCGC
rnacentral:rRNA from 1 species